rnacentral:rRNA from 1 species
CCUACGGGUGGCAGCAGUGAGGAAUAUUGGUCAAUGGACGAGAGUCUGAACCAGCCAAGUAGCGUGAAGGAUGACUGCCCUAUGGGUUGUAAACUUCUUUUAUAUGGGAAUAAAAUGUUCCACGUGUGGGAUUUUGUAUGUACUAUAUGAAUAAGGAUCGGCUAACUCCGUGCCAGCAGCCGCGGUAAUACGGAGGAUCCGAGCGUUAUCCGGAUUUAUUGGGUUUAAAGGGAGCGUAGGUGGAUUGUUAAGUCAGUUGUGAAAGUUUGCGGCUCAACCGUAAAAUUGCAGUUGAAACUGGCAGUCUUGAGUACAGUAGAGGUGGGCGGAAUUCGUGGUGUAGCGGUGAAAUGCUUAGAUAGCACGAAGAACUCCGAUUGCGAAGGCAGUUCACUGGACUGUGACUGACAUUGAUGCUCGAAAGUGUGGGUAUCAAACAGGAUUAGAUACCCGGGUAGUC